GACGAACGCUGGCGGCGUGCUUAACACAUGCAAGUCGAACGGAAAGGCCCUGCUUUUGUGGGGUGCUCGAGUGGCGAACGGGUGAGUAACACGUGAGUAACCUGCCCUUGACUUUGGGAUAACUUCAGGAAACUGGGGCUAAUACCGGAUAGGAGCUCCUGCUGCAUGGUGGGGGUUGGAAAGUUUCGGCGGUUGGGGAUGGACUCGCGGCUUAUCAGCUUGUUGGUGGGGGAGUGGCUUACCAAGGCUUUGACGGGUAGCCGGCCUGAGAGGGUGACCGGCCACAUUGGGACUGAGGUACGGCCCAGACUCCUACGGGGGGCAGCAGUGGGGAAUAUUGCACAAUGGGCGGGAGCCUGAUGCAGCAACGCCGCGUGCGGGAUGACGGCCUUCGGGUUGUAAACCGCUUUCGCCUGUGACGAAGCGUGAGUGACGGUAAUGGGUAAAGAAGCACCGGCUAACUACGUG
rnacentral:rRNA from 1 species